AGGAUCCAAAUUUGGAGUUUUUGAGGAAAUUUGGAAUUGGGCUAGUCUCAGGAACAAUAGCCUCAAUUAUUAACAUUCCUUUUGAUGUGGCAAAAAGUAGGAUUCAAGGACCACAGCCAGUUCCUGGAGAGAUCAAGUACAGAACCUGUUUUAAAACUAUGGCAACAGUCUAUAAAGAAGAAGGAUUUCUGGCUCUGUACAAAGGCUUGGUUCCCAAGAUCAUGAGGCUUGGCCCAGGUGGUGCAGUGAUGCUUUUGGUUUAUGAAUACGUUUAUGCAUGGCUUCAGGACAGAGCUGAUCACAAGCAGCACUUCUGAAAAAUGUACUCUUUAAAAAAAUUAUAUGCAUUCUGAAAUACAUUUUAAUAAAAUAAAGUGAUUCUCA